ACCCAGAUCAUCAAGGGUAAAAUGACACAUGGACCAGUGACUCUUGGAGUUCCUGGCUGUACUGAUGGACAUAACCUGAAGCCCAAGAACCAGCUAAGUGCAAUUGUUCAGUGGAGGAAUGCAUAUAAUUGGAACUUUCAAGAUGAGUGGUCAUGCAGUUGACUUUCUAAGAGAGCUGUGAGGAAAAGCAAGGGUCAUGUCUGAAGAUUAGAAGGGGGCAUCCUUUUCUGUGUCAUCACAUUAUUAAAAUUUUUAUUUUUACUAGUACAUGUCUGCAGCACUUAAUGAUUACAUUCUUCAUGCAGAGUUGGUUCAUGUAGACAGCACAUCAUAAUUCUUUUUUCCUCACCUUCUCUCCCUCCCUCCUCCUUCCUUUCUUCAUAGUUUUGAAGUCUAAGAUUAAGGUGCUACCAGAUUUGCACUCUUUUUCUGGCUAGUGUUCUAAUGAAGAGCACUUUCUAACUGUAUCUCAGCAUGGUGGAAAAUAUUCUGCCUCACAACUUAGUCACCUAUCAUAUGCCUCACCUUCUACUACUAUUACAUUGGAGGUGAGGUUUCAACAUGAUAUUUUUUGGAUGACACACACAUUCAGAUGAUCGCAUGGGUGUAUGAUGUGCAAUCCCCCAUUUCUAUAUUACUUUUGGAUGCACACAUGUUGAAAUAUACUUGAACAUGUCUGUGCAAAAAGAGGGUAGAUGUCUGGGAAAAAAGGAGGCAGAUCAUUUUUCUAUUAGUUUGUAAGUUGCUGCGUUGUGAGAUCAGUGACUAGACCUAAUGGAUAGUUAUGUGUAUUCUAAGUGUUAGGUUCCAACAGUAAUAGGAUCAGGCCAUUGUUUUUCUCCUUGGGGAAGAGAGUGAGUUUAUUUUGUUGGAAGAGUGCACACUAAUAUUUGGUGGCCAUAGAAAAGUCUGCUAUUCUGGGAGUGGUUCUCUCUUAUCUACUUCCCUGUUCUCUUGGGGAGCACGUGGCUGCACAGCUAUGAACUGGUUUUCUUAUCCUUACCAGUAUAGUAAUAUAUAUUUUGGUAUAUGAAUUCAUACAAAUGUAAUGUGAGAAGGAAUGAAGAGCGCCUUUUUACCACUAGACUUCUGACCUUGUUCUUUCUGUCUUGUGCUUUUGUGAAGAGUGAAAUGUCGGUGUGAUGAAGGGACCGCAUCAACCAUGUUGAUAAAGACAAGGGGUGUUCCACUAUGUUGUACUGGGUUCCAGGAAGAUGGCAGAGUGAUGAGCAGCAGCAAAUCAGCCUCUCCAAGAUUCAGACUCUAGACACUGGAAAACAUCAACUUGGGGAUGAAAAUAAGGAGGGAAGUGGGACCAUGAGACUCAGGAAAGAACUGAUGGGAAAACUGGAGUCUACAGAGAAAUUGAAAGGACAGACCACAAUGCAGAAAAAGGAAGGGACAACCUGCACUUUGUCCCCAACUGCUGGCUCCUGGCUCCUGGCUUGUGAGAAAGGAAAAUCGAAUGUAUAGUGACACAGUGAAAGGGAGCUAUUCCCAAUAGCAGGGAGAAGUGCACUAGUGGAAUUGAGUAGUAGGUGCUGUGCAGUACAGCAGCUGGUGAGGGGCUCCAAUCCAAGGGUCUGCCAUAUCCCCUGGAGAGAGUGCUCAGUCAGACGCCAUUCCAGGCAAGGGUCAACUGAACCUGGAACUAAGAGCAGCUGUGAGUUGGCUUCAAACCAGGGCACUCAGUGUUAAAAUCCUACAGUGACUGGGUGAGGCACAACCAUGGGAGAUGUUCAGGGAAUCAUGGUCCGGCUGAAAAGAGACACCCAGAGUGUUUUAAGCUAAACAAUUCAGGCCCUGGUCCCAUGGCCAGAAGAAAGGUUUGGGCUGAAUUUUUAUGGAUCUGAAAGCCUCAGAACUGGCACCCCACUGUAAUCCUACUGCCAGUUUGCUGGUGAUUACUUACCUAUCAUGGAUCUGGGCAAUGACUUCCAGCUUUGUCUAUCAGUGAAGUGAUCCAUUGAAUUGGACACGGCCACAAAACUAGACUCCAGAAGAUAAUCACAGAAACUGGCACUAGGGUCCUUCACUGAGAAGUCUGCCUUCUUGACUGUCACCAUGCCAUGGGAGAGGUAGAGGAAGGAUCUGGGCACUGUAGGACCUCUGGCUUCCUCAAAGUCAAGAUGACCAUGAAAGGGAAGCAUUUUGAAUGCUUCAGCUCAGCACAUUGAGGUACCAACAACAGUCAAACUAAAAGCACAGUCAACCCAAAAGACACUCAAGAAAAGAUUUACAGAAUUGUUUCAGAAAGCAGCAAAAACAAUGGGAUAAGGUUGUUCAAAGUUAAGGGAAUAUUUUAAGGUUAAUUAAUUAAUGGUAAUGUCUCUUAUUGUAAUAAUUUUUGAACAUAUAUGAUUGUUUAAUUAUACUUUAUAAAUUAGGCUACUUUUUA